rnacentral:rRNA from 1 species
GGUCACUGCUAUUGGGAUUCGACUAAGCCAUGCGAGUCGAGAGGGUUCGGCCCUCGGCUGACGGCUCAGUAACACGUGGAUAAUCUGCCCUUAGGUGGAGGAUAAUCUCGGGAAACUGAGAAUAAUACUCCAUAGAUCUAGGAUGCUGGAAUGCACUUAGAUUGAAAGCUCCGGCGCCUAAGGAUGAGUCUGCGGACUAUCAGGUUGUGGUCAGGGUAAUGACCUGACUAGCCUACGACGGAUACGGGUUGUGAGAGCAAUAACCCGGAGACGAUAUCUGAGACACGAUAUCRGGCCCUACGGGGCGCAGCAGGCGCGAAAACUUCACACUGUGCGAAAGCACGAUGAGGGAAUCCCAAGUGCCAACUCGUAAGAGUUGGCUGUUUCUCUGUCUAAAAAAUAGAGAGAGUAAGAGCUGGGUAAGACGGGUGCCAGCCGCCGCGGUAAUACCUGCAGCUCAAGUGGUGGCCACUAUAUUGGGCCUAAAACGUCCGUAGCCGGUUUAAUAAAUGCCGGGGUAAAUCGUGUAGCUUAACUAUACGAAUUCCGGGUAGACUGUUAGACUUGAGACCGGGAGAAGCUAGAGGUACUCCUGGGGUAGAGGUGAAAUUCUGUAAUCCUAGGGGGACCACCAGUGGCGAAGGCGUCUAGCUAGAACGGGUCUGACGGUGAGGGACGAAGCCCUGAGGCGCAAACCGGAUUAGAUACCCGGGUAGUCCAGGGUGUAAACGCUGCUUGCUUGAUGUCAGUUGGGCUCCGAGCCCAAUUAGUGUCGGAGAGAAGUUGUUAAGCAAGCUGCCUGGGAAGUACGGCCGCAAGACUGAAACUUAAAGGAAUUGGCGGGGGAGCACAGCAACGGGUGGAGCGUGCGGUUUA